AUUGAACGCUGGCGGCAUGCCUUACACAUGCAAGUCGAACGGUAACGGGCCUUCGGGUGCCGACGAGUGGCGAACGGGUGAGUAAUACAUCGGAACGUGCCCGAUCGUGGGGGAUAACGAGGCGAAAGCUUUGCUAAUACCGCAUACGAUCUACGGAUGAAAGCAGGGGACCGCAAGGCCUUGCGCGGACGGAGCGGCCGAGGGCAGAGGAGGUAGUUGGUGGGAUAAAAGCUUACCAAGCCGACGAUCUGUAGCUGUUCUGGGAGGGGGAUCAGCCACACUGGGACUGAGACACGGCCCAGACUCCUACGGGAGGCAGCAGUGGGGAAUUUUGGACAAUGGGCGCAAGCCUGAUCCAGCCAUGCCGCGUGCAGGAUGAAGGCCUUCGGGUUGUAAACUGCUUUUGUACGGAACGAAAAGCCUUCUUUUAAUACAGGAGGGUCAUGACGGUACCGUAAGAAUAAGCACCGGCUAACUACGUG
rnacentral:rRNA from 1 species